rnacentral:rRNA from 1 species
AACGAACGCUGGCGGCAUGCCUAACACAUGCAAGUCGAACGAGAUCCUUCGGGGUCUAGUGGCGCACGGGUGCGUAACGCGUGGGAAUCUGCCCUUAGUUUCGGAAUAACAGUUAGAAAUGACUGCUAAUACCGGAUGAUGACGUUAAGUCCAAAGAUUUAUCGCCUGAGGAUGAGCCCGCGUAGGAUUAGCUAGCUGGUGUGGUAAAGGCGCACCAAGGCGACGAUCCUUGGCUGGUCUGAGAGGAUGAUCAGCCACACUGGGACUGAGACACAGCCCAGAAUCACACGGGAGGCAGCAGUGGAGAAUAUUAGACAAUGAGCGCAAGCCUGACACAGCAAUGCCGCGUGAGUGAUGAAGAGCUUAGAGUUGUAAAGCUCUAUUACCCGGGAUGAUAAUGACAGUACCGGGAGAAUCAGCUCCGGCUAACUCCGUG